rnacentral:rRNA from 1 species
CGAAAGUCUCGGAGCAACGCCGCGUGAGUGACGAAGGUCUUCGGAUUGAACUCUGUUUUUUGGGACGAACGGCUCAUAUGUGAAUAAUGUAUGAGAUUGACGGUACCAAAGGAGGAAGCCCCGGCUAACUACGUGCCAGCAGCCGCGGUAUACGUAGGGGGCAAGCGUUGUCCGGAAUUAUUGGGCGUAAGAGCGCGCAGGCGGGUCUGUCAGUCUACCGUGAAAGCUUACGGCUCAACCGUAACGGGUCGGUGGAUACUGCAGAUCUUGAGGGCAGGAGAGGAAAGUGGAAUUCCCAGUGUAGCGGUGAAAUGCGUAGAUAUUGGGAGGAACACCAGUGGCGAAGGCGACUUUCUGGACUGUUACUGACGCUGAGGCGCGAAAGCUGGGGGAGUGAACGGGAUUAGAUACCCCGGUAAUCCCAGCCGUAAACGAUGGGUACUAGGUGUAGGAGGUAUCGACCCCUUCUGUGCCGGAGUUAACGCAAUAAGUACCCCGCCUGGGGAGUACGGUCGCAAGACUGAAACUCAAAGGAAUUGACGGGGGCCCGCACAAGCGGUGGAGCAUGUGGUUUAAUUCGACGCAACAAAACCUUACCAGGGCUUGACAUCGUACGAAAAACUUAGAGAUAGGUUCCCCUCUUCGGAGGCGUAUAGACAGGUGGUGCAGCUGUCGUCACUCGUGUCGUGAGAUGUUGGGUUAAGUCCCGCAACGAGGCAACCCCUAUCCUUUGUUGCCACAUUAAGUUGGGCACUCAAGGGAGACUGCCGCGGACAACGCGGAGAAGGGGGAUGACGUCAAGUCAUCAUGCCCCUUAUGUCCUGGGCUACACACGUGCUCAAUGGUCUGAACAGAGGGCGGCGAAACUGCGAAGUGGAGCAAAUCCCUUAAAACAGAUCUCAGUUCACGACGCAGCAUGUAGCAUAUAGGUGACACUAAGAAUCCCAGCUGCAUCCACGCGUGUCACCCCAUCGCGGCCGCCCUCCG